UACGGAGGGUGCAAGCGUUAUCCGGAUUCACUGGGUUUAAAGGGUGCGUAGGUGGGCAGGUAAGUCAGUGGUGAAAUCUCCGGGCUUAACUUGGGAACUGCCAUUGAUACUAUCAAUCUUGAAUACCGUGGAGGUCAGCGGAAUAUGUCAUGUAGCGGUGAAAUGCUUAGAUAUGACAUAGAACACCAAUUGCGAAGGCAGCUGGCUACACGAAUAUUGACACUGAGGCACGAAAGCGUGGGGAUCAAACAGG
rnacentral:rRNA from 1 species